rnacentral:lncRNA from 1 species
GUGCAUUGAAAAUGUCACUCAACAUGGCCUGCUUGAAAAGGUCCCUGGGCACUUUUUCUUCUCUCCUUUGAAUCAUUUUACCAUCACAAAUGGUUGGGUCAGAGGAUGCAGAACCCAGAGAUAAGGCACACCAACUGUAUUGGCUCUGGACAACUCCAACCACAAACAGCCCAUGGAAGGUGUUAUUAUCCAUGUUUCAAUUUUAAAGGAUUAAACAUAGACAACGUUUUCUUCCUGGAUAGAAGAAGGAGC